rnacentral:snoRNA from 1 species
GUGUUUCUGUGAUGUGUUAGCACUGGGCUCUGAACUCGUGUGAAGAUAAAGUGCUGUUCUGCUCCUGACAUGGCAGAAUCUGAGAAGCGC